AAAUUAUUACAUAUUUUUUACCUCCGAUAUUCGAACAAUUAACGUCGCCGCUUUUAAAUUGAAGUACGAACUGUUGUUAUGCAAAUUAUCUCAUCGGUUGACUGGUCCUCUGUCCCUAUCGUAAGUAUUGCAGGCAUUGCCAGUCUAUCUCAUCUGCGUAUUAAUCUUUGUUUAGUUCUUUUAUUGAUGUUGAUGUUUUUUUUCAAUGUGUAAAGAAGAUAUCUAUUGU
rnacentral:sRNA from 1 species